rnacentral:tRNA from 1 species
GCCGUUGUAGUACAGUGGUCAGCACGCUCGGCGCGUAUUCGUGAAGUUCGUGGUUCGAAUCCCGGCAAGGGCA